rnacentral:rRNA from 1 species
GACGAACGCUGGCGGCGUGCCUAAUACAUGCAAGUCGAACGAAGCUGUUUUAACUGGUGCUUGCACCGACUUAAACAACUGAGUGGCGAACGGGUGAAUAACACGUGGGUAACCUGCCCCAAAGCGGGGGAUAACAUUUGGAAACAGAUGCUAAUACCGCAUAAUCACAGAAACCACAUGGUUUCGGUGUCAAAGAUGGUGUCGGCUAUCACUUUGGGAUGGACCCGCGGCGUAUUAUCUAGUUGGUAAGGUAAUGGCUUACCAAGGCAAUGAUACGUAGCCGAACUGAGAGGUUGAUCGGCCACAUUGGGACUGAGACACGGCCCAAACUCCUACGGGAGGCAGCAGUAGGGAAUCUUCCACAAUGGACGAAAGUCUGAUGGAGCAACGCCGCGUGAGUGAAGAAGGUUUUCGGAUCGUAAAACUCUGUUGUCAGAGAAGAACGUGUGCGAGAGUAACUGUUCGUGCAGUGACGGUAUCUGGCCAGAAAGCCACGGCUAACUACGUGCCAGCCGCCGCCGUAA